UUAGAGUGUUCAAAGCAGGCAGAUCCAAUUUUCUGCCACCGAAUACAUUAGCAUGGGAUAAUGGAAUAGGACCCUGUCCUCCUAUUUUCAGUUGGUUUGCCGCGAGGACCAGGGUAAUGAUUAAUAGGGAUAGUUGGGGGCAUUAAUAUUUAAUUGUCAGAGGUGAAAUUCUUGGAUUUAUGAAAGAUUAACUUCUGCGAAAGCAUCUGCCAAGGAUGUUUUCAUUAAUCAAGAACGAAAGUUAGGGGAUCGAAGACGAUCAGAUACCGUCGUAGUCUUAACCAUAAACGAUGCCGACCAGCGAUUAGGAGACGUUGAAUACAAAACACCACCAUGCGCAUUGCGGUCGUCUUUGGUGUCGCUCACAAGGCGGCACCGGGGCGG
rnacentral:rRNA from 1 species